rnacentral:rRNA from 1 species
GAUGAACGCUGGCGGCGUGCCUAAUACAUGCAAGUCGAGCGAACAGACGAGGAGCUUGCUCCUCUGACGUUAGCGGCGGACGGGUGAGUAACACGUGGAUAACCUACCUAUAAGACUGGGAUAACUUCGGGAAACCGGAGCUAAUACCGGAUAAUAUAUUGAACCGCAUGGUUCAAUAGUGAAAGACGGUUUUGCUGUCACUUAUAGAUGGAUCCGCGCCGCAUUAGCUAGUUGGUAAGGUAACGGCUUACCAAGGCAACGAUGCGUAGCCGACCUGAGAGGGUGAUGGGCCACACUGGAACUGAGACACGGUCCAGACUCCUACGGGAGGCAGCAGUAGGGAAUCUUCCGCAAUGGGCGAAAGCCUGACGGAGCAACGCCGCGUGAGUGAUGAAGGUCUUCGGAUCGUAAAACUCUGUUAUUAGGGAAGAACAAAUGUGUAAGUAACUAUGCACGUCUUGACGGUACCUAAUCAGAAAGCCACGGCUAACUACGUGCCAGCAGCCGCAGUAA